rnacentral:rRNA from 1 species
AGUAGUUUGAUCAUGGCUCAGGACGAACGCUGGCGGCGUGCUUAACACAUGCAAGUCGAACGGUGACCCAGGGCUUGCCCUGGUGAUCAGUGGCGAACGGGUGAGUAACACGUGGGCAACCUGCCCCUGACUUCGGGGAUAACUCCUCGAAAGAGGAGCUAAUACCGGAUACGACCACUUCGGACAUCCGAUGGUGGUGGAAAGUUUUUCGGUCAGGGAUGGGCCCGCGGCCUAUCAGCUAGUUGGUGGGGUAAUGGCCUACCAAGGCGACGACGGGUAGCCGGCCUGAGAGGGCGACCGGCCACACUGGGACUGAGACACGGCCCAGACUCCUACGGGAGGCAGCAGUGGGGAAUAUUGCGCAAUGGGCGAAAGCCUGACGCAGCGACGCCGCGUGAGGGAUGAAGGCCUUCGGGUUGUAAACCUCUUUCAGCAGGGACGAAGCGAAAGUGACGGUACCUGCAGAAGAAGCACCGGCUAACUACGUG